GCGCUGCUGUGAGCUGUGGUGUAGGUCACAGACACAGCUCAGAUCCCAAGUUGCUCUGGCUGUGGCUGGCAGCUGUAGCUCCGAUCCCACCUCUAGCCUGAAAACUUGUGUAUGCCGCAGGUGCGAACCCAAAAAGCAAAACAAAGCAAAACGAAAAAACCUUCAUCCUGGCACUGCACAAACGCCACCAAGUCCAGUUGCUUGCCACAGUGGGAACUCCUUACUUUGUCUUUUAUUAAAUUGGCUCACUGUUUUUGGUGUUAUUUUUAACUUAAACCAGCUUAAUUUAAAAGUACGCUCAGUGUGACUGCUGUGAAUAGAAGCUGGGUGUUGCUGUUAAAAAGGAGAAACACAUUAAAACAAAUGAAAGCAAAGCCAGGCAAUCCUAACUAGAUGUUAUGGUCUGCAUAAUUUGGGGUCCUGAGCUCUGCAUUUGUUUUGUUCAAUGGGGAGAGUGACCAGGGCCAGAGGGCCAUUAGCACGCUCUAGCUGCUGCUGGGACUUCUGAGCGGUCAGAGAACUGGAAGAGAAGCUGGGGUGCACGAUCCUGAGUUCCUUUGGGGCCUCCGCGCUUUGCGGCUGAGAGUUCACAGGACUACGUCCCACUCCUUGGGAAACUCUCCACUAACGACAACAGUAAUGCUAACAGCUGAAAUGUACCAACUCUUCUGUGCACCGCACAACUCUAAGAUUUUUACCUGUAUGUGUUACUUGAAACUAGGAGGUUGGGGGCAGUGUUGGUGGGGGGUCUGGUGGAGCCCUGGGCCAGCACUUAGACCCAAGGAAGAGAGAAAUGUGUGUGUGUGUGUGUGUGUGUGUGUGUGUGUGUGUGUAGUUUCUGUGCGUGGGUGUCUAGGCGUGCACUUGGGAGACAGCAUGCACUGCCCAGGACGAACUCUGCCCUGCUCCCGCCCCAGCUGUAUAGUCUUGGGUGACUGGCCCCAGGUUCCUCAUCUGUGAAAUGGGACGAGUGGAAGUCGUGCCCACCUUGCAGGGGCGUUAGGGAGAUUAAGCGAGAGACCUCGGUCCAGUGCUUUGCAGGCGGUAAGCACCCUGAGUGUUUGCUGUUGCCGUGUGUGCGUGUCCCUCCCUCCUGCCUGUCUACAGGUGUGUGUGUGUGUCUGUCUGUCUGUCCUGUCUGCGUUGUGAGGCGGGCCUCUCACCUUGCCUCCCUCUUUUUCCCCCUCGACCACAGCCUGCCGUCCCCGGUCACCGUCGGCAGUGCAGGGAUGGCCACCCAGCUGCUGAGUGACGGGGCCCUGGUAAGUCAAGCUGCCUCUCUCUCCUUUCCAGCGGCUCAGCCCAAGGGGCUGGGCUUCUCCUGACCCCUAGCCCCCACCCAGGGCCCAUGUCCCCACCUCCGGGGCCUGUGUCCACCCUGAGGAGGGACGGUGGUGCUCCCGUCCACUCUGCCUGCUCCGGCACUGUCCCUGACACUGGCUUUGGUUGACCAAGGAGCACAGGCCAGCUGGGGAGUGACCAGUUCUGCCCUGGGGCCCACAGGAGACACAGGAGGGCACCUAGAAAGUGACACUGUAACUGUGUUAUAUCAAGUGUUCAAGGGUCCCUCCGGAGAUGCCCAGGCAGCGUUGUGCUGACACGUGUCCUUUCCAAGUGGGCAGACAGCACUAAGUGUCCCAUAUGAACGGCCACAUAGGCAGUAAAAGUACAAGACUCGCUGGAACAAGUUGAUGGUGUUUUAAAUGGGUGGUACCUAUGUGACUGUGUGUUGUAUUUUUCUCUAAACUUGCUUUUAUGCCAGAAAUGUUUCAUAAUAAAAUAUAUACAUAUAUGCGAUCUCUAUAGAAAAUAGGGAAAAUCCAGUAAUCUAUAGGUAAGACAAUAUAAUUCACCCAUUAUGCCUCUACCAAGAAAUAACCUUGGGGAUUAUUUGUGUAUUCAUUUGUCUUCCUUCUCUGAUGAUUAUUUUUAACAAUUGACCCAGCAUUGGCUCUGCCACUUUUAUCUUGGAGUUUUUUUGUUUUGUUUUGUGUUUUGGCUUUCCAUAGACUUUGAAACCUUUAUAACACCACCUGUUUGGGCUGCAUAAUCAGUGCAUCUCAGUGUCCAUCUCAUAUUGGUGAGUUUGACUUUUUAAAAAAUCAUUUUUCAAUGCUAUAAAUAAUCAGUUAUAAAAGUAAAAGAAAAUUCCUAGUUGGUAAGGAAAUACAUGAUCAUUAAGCUUAGAAAAUCCAGAAGAACAUAGAGAACAGGGUCAGAAUGACUCUUGAUCUCAUCCGAGAAGAUAACCACCCUCGAAUAUUGGUGUGUGUCUCUCUCUCCCUGGAUACACGUUGUUUUGCAAAAAUAAGCACCACCCUUGGAAUUCCCAUCAUGGCUCAGCAGAAAUGAAUCUGACUAGUAUCCAUGAGGACGCAGGUUCGAUCCCUGGCCUCGCUCAGCGGGUUAAGGAUCCAGCAUUGCCUCGGCUGUGGCGUAGGCUGGUGGCUACAACUCCGAUUCAACCCCUAGCCUGGGAACCUCCAUAUGCUGUGAGUGCAGCCCUAAAAUAAAAAUAAAAAGACAAAAAUAUAAGAAUCACCGGGCUGAGCAGUUUUUAUAUCGUGCUUUUUCAUCAAAGAUUUCAUGCUGAGCAUUUUUCCACAUUGUUAAAAACCCCUUGGUAGAUCCAUUUUAGUGACUCCAUAGAAAUUUUGUCUUGGGGCUUACAUCUUACUUGGCUUACUUAGUGGUUCCCCUGUUGUUGGAUAUUUAUUUGUCUCCAGUUAUUUAUGGUCGUUGGGUAUUUAUUGUGGAAGUUGGAUAUAAAUGAUAAAUGGCCAUGUGAAUAAAUGAAUAUAUGUGACAAAUAGUAUAAACCUUAAGCAUGAUAGGUUACAAAUGGUGUCACAAGAUCUUUUCUGAGUAACAUUGUAUGUAUAUAAAUGAACUUUCAUUUUUAGAAAAUAUUAGCCAUUUCUGCAAGGGGCUAAAUGAUCUAUCUUGUGCUUUGCCAUUCUGCAAGAAUCUUAGUGUUCUUGAAGACUUUAAAGAAGUGUAUAUAGGAGUUCCCUUGUAGCUCAGUGGUUGAGGACCUGGUGUUGUCUCUGCUAUGACUCAGGUCACUGCUGUGGCACAGGUUCAGUCUCUGGACUGGGAACUUCCACAUGCCACGGUGCGG
rnacentral:lncRNA from 1 species